rnacentral:rRNA from 1 species
UACGUAGGGGGCGAGCGUUGUCCGAAGUUACUGGGCGUAAAGAGUGCGUAGGCGGCUUGACAAGUUGCAUCUAAAAGGCGACAGCUCAACUGACGAGUGCGGUGCAAGACUGUAAAGCUUGAGGCAAGCAAAAGAAUGUGGAAUUCCGAGUGUAGAGGUGAAAUUCGUAGAUAUUCGGAAGAACACCAGUGGCGAAGGCGACUGACUGGACAAGUAUUGACGCUGAGGUGCGAAAGCGUGGGGAGCAAACAGGGAUUAAGAAACCCCAGUAACGUC